CGCGCCGGACCAGGCCGCCGGAAGUGGGCGGGCGGCGCGCUCCGCGCCUGGGCCUCGGACGGUGGCCGCUAGGGGACGAGCGGGGGCGCGGCCCGGAGUCACCCCUCCCCCUGCGUCCCGAUGGUAACGACCUCCGCCAGGUUCGUCGUGGUGACGUCAUGGGCGCGCGACCUGGUUCGUCUCCGAGGCGGUGCUGUCGCCGCCCCUGUGCUGCGCCGUCCCCGGGAGCGGACCGAGGCCUGGGGAGGUUCCGACUGGACAGACCGUGGGCUUUCCCUCUGAAGGUUCCACUCCGCGCCAGGCCUCCCUCCCUCCUCCGCCGGGCAGGGUGCUUUCCUCACGCGCCUGUAAUCCUGGUGCUCGGGAGGCUGAGGCAGGUCGAGGCCAGCAUGGCUGCACAGUGAGUUCAGGGCCAGCCUAGGCUACAGGGCGAGACCCUGUCUCAGGCACCGGACCGAAGACAGACAGCUCACGUGAUAAAGACAACUGUGCAGGGCAAGGACACCAAGAUAAAGCAGAUAGACUGAAACAAGCACAGAGGACAUGAAGAAAUCUCACAAAAGCCAUUGAGACUAAAAUAGUCUCAUCUUCACUAGUACUUAGAGAAAUGCAAAUUAAAGCAAUAAGAUAAUACGCAUUCCUGAGACUGGCGAAAACUAAGUCUAAGGUUACCAGAUGUUGAGUGGGCCCAGGGAUGGGCGUGCAGAUGAUGCAAUCACUUUGGAAGCCAGGGCAAGGCCGGGGCUGUCCCCAGACUUUUGUUACCUAAAGGGCAGGACUCCGGGAACUACAGGGCCCUUCCUUCCGGCGUGCCAAUAGUGCAUUUCAAGGACGAUGCUUAGAAGUCUGUGAUUCAGCAUUGUGUGAGGGGACGGGACGGGUAGAGUUGGGAAUCCUAACCCUGUGCUCUGGUCCCAGCUCUCCUCCUCCGCUGUGGAACGUUGGACAGAUGCCCUAACUCCUCUGAGGCUCACGUCCUUCCCUUGCGUACUUCCCAUGUUUGUGCAGUGCCUCCUGGGUGCCAUGCGCCGUGCCAGCUCCUGGGUUGAGUGUGAGUGGGACGUGGGCAGCCUAAGAGGAGCUCCCGGCAGUGAGCCUCCUCUCCUAAGAGGAGGGCCGUGGAUGCUGGCGCCUCAGCGCGGAAGCCGAGUGUGGGUGCCAGGAGGAGGAGAGACUGAAGAGUGGACAUGCCAGCGCCCUGCCGUGGCUAAGAGGCCAGCUCCGGGGCCAGUUCCAUCUCAAGACAUCCUGGCUCUAACCUUCGUUACCCAGCCUCCUGGGGAAACAGCUCCUCAUCUCUCAGCAGAUCAGAAUUGUACCAUUUUUAUUUUGAAAUAUCAAGACACAGCAUACUAAAAAAAGGCAGUCGUGCUAGUAAAGAGGCAGUCGUGCUAGUUAAAUGUCACCUGUUCAUCUCUUCCUCCUCCUCCUCCUCCUCUCUGGCACUGUUAACAAACACAUUGCUCCUCACCAAGGCACUGUGCGAGGUGCUGCAGAGCAGCUAGAGAUCUGUUGUCAACCUGGCCUGGCCCUGGCUUCCUCACUGGGGAUGUUGCUUCAGGUGACCAUUCAGUUCUUGCCUUGUGACCUUUCCUGAAAAUGCUGUCCUGCCUGAAAGUGACUAGAGACCUGCGGAAAGUGAAAUGGAUUUUGAGGCAGUCAUUUCUAAGUGUCCUGAAGUCUGAGGAGGGCGUGACUCAGCACAGAAUGAGCCAGAGGGAGACAUCAUUUAGGUGAGGUGACAGGUGCUGUUAAUAGAGACUUGAGUGAGAACUAAAACUCACACAGAAUAAAUUUACCUUGAUGUAAAAAAUUAUGGUCCAGGUGGGGCAGAGAUAUAGCUUAAUCUAUACUAUAUAAUAUAUAUAAAGCAAAAUCUUUACAAUGUAUUACAAAGGGCUAACUUUGAAGACAAUGAACACUAGGAAAAUGGACAAAGGAUAUGGAUAGCCUAUUUAGAAAAACACAAAAGGACAGAUGGGCAAUACAUAUAGAAAGGGGUUAAACUUCAUUCAUAAUUCAAGAAUUAAAAUGAAAAUAAGAUACAUCAUUUGAGCAAAAAUGAGCUGGACAGAAGCAGUGUGGCUGAGGGUGUGAGGUAGCCAAGGUGACCUGGUGGUAUAGACUAGUACUGUGUAACUUUUUCUUUUUGGUACUCGGAAUCGAAAUCAGGUCCUUGCACUUUCGAGGCAGGCAGCGGAACCACUGAGCUAAAUCCCCGGCCCAGUACUGUAUAACUUUUGAGAAGGAAUAAUUAUUUAAUUUUUUUUGUAGUGUAGGCUGGCCUUGCCCUCACUGUGUAGCCUCAAACGCAUGGCAGUUUUCCUGCCUCAGCCUCCGCAGUGCUAGGAUUAGAGGCAUGCACCACCAUGCCUGCCUAACAGUUACCUUUUUGUUUUGGUACCAGGGAUUGAACGCAGGACCUUGCACUUGCAAGACAGGCGCUGGAACCACUGAGCUCCUUCCCUGACCCUAACAGUUAACUUUUAAAUAAAAAGCACACACACUCUUUGGUUCACUGAUAAAAAUUAUCCUCUUAAAAAAAAAAAAAAGAGUACUGAGUUCUAAGCACACAGAUGUUCACUAGGAACUGUUUGUAAUAGAAAAGGGAAGAAAGGAGGGAGGGAGGGAGGAAGAAAAGGAGGAAGGAGGGAAGAAAGAAAAGUGCCCCUGGCUUAGUGUUCUCGGGAGUGACAGCAAGCUAGACCAAGGUUACCUUUUAGUACCCUAAGUGGGGAGGUUGAACAAAGGCUGGGCCCCUGUUGAUGGGUCCAACAGGACACAACUCAUCUUGUCUAGUGGUCUCUCCCGUGGCCUCCAUUCCAACAGGCUGGUCCUCAGAACGCUGCAUGUGCACACAGGCUGAGUGCCCGUCACAGUGGGCAAAGUCGGGAUGGACAGCUGGUCCUCGGUCAGUGCUGUGUGAAGCCCUCUUGGGGCCCAUUGUUCUUGACAGUCAGAUAGAAAGCACAGCUCUGUGCAUGGGGUGAGUUGUUCUUCUCUCCUGGGCUCCGUCACGCACUGUGGAUGAGUGCCUGGUACAAGGGACGCAGCAUCCCUAUGGAGUUGCCAGGAGUAGUGCAGUGUCCAGGACAGGAACAAAACACAUAUGAUGGCUACACCAGGAAACAGUGUGAGGCAAGGCCUGUGCCAGUGGUGGCAAACCUAUGGCACGUGUGCCGCAGCCGGCUGUUGUCACUGAAUGCUCUGAAUGGUUCGCCAUCACCAGCAUAGGCACUAGGAGAGGCUUUCAUUAUCUUUGAUUAGAGAUGGGGGUCAGCAGGGAACUCUGCUUUCUAGUUGCUUUAUAAACCGAGGGCCUAAAGACUAGGAGGUCCAUUAAAAUCUCAGGUGGCACCACACUGUGUCAAGGUCUAUAGUGGCAGAAGGCCAUCAAAGUUCCUGAAGUUCUCUGCUGGUUAGGGACUCAUAAUCUGAUGAUGCCUUGGCACUGACAUCUUGAUCUAGAGCCGUGCUCUUCAAUAUGGUAGCCACUGGCCACAUGUGCUAUGUAAACUGAAGUAAGUUAAAAUUUAAUAAAGUACCCUUCAGCUAAAUCCAGCCUUCAGUUACCCAAGAUACAUUCCAAGUGCUCAACCUAAGUAUGGUACCUAGAGGUGUCAUAAAGAGCAACAAACAUCCAUGGAACAUGUGGAACGUUCCAUCAGUGAAGAAUGUUCUAUUGGGCGGUGCUGAUGUAAAAGUAAAGGUCUCCACAGAAAGUCUAUCAAGAAACACCAUCUCUAGAGCUUGACUGACCAGAUCAAGGAAGCCUGAGUUUUAUUUUAUUUUGAAACAGGAGAUAAGGGAAUAAGACAUUGAGUUUGGUGUGAAUUGGGAAGCUCAAUUUUCUUAGCAAAGACACUUCCUGCUAGGGGUCACUGUGCACAAAAGUGCGUAGGCAAGGCAGUGGCUGCAGAGGAUGUGACAUUUGGGGUGAAGGCUUCCCCUGAACAGAAAGAAGAGUAUGUCCUGAGUGACAGAAGGAGGCGGCAGACACUUCUGCUACUUGCACAGGGGGUGAGUGUGGCUCUCAUCCUGGGUUUUCUGGUACUUCCCUUGCCUUUUGACUUCCUUGGCUUUCUCUCAUCUUUCUUCUGAUUCAGCUGGUAAACACAGUUGAGGCAUGUAAGCUUUGAGAGAUUUUCAAUGCCUUCCUCAAAAGGAGAGUAGUUCUUUUCUUAAUCUUGUUUCGUAUGUCUCUAACACUUUUGAAAAACUAAGGGAAGGGAAAUAAAAUUGAGGGCAGUCAUACUUCUCAUACUAGUUCAGGCUGUCCCUUGUGGUUUCUAGCACGGGGAUAUGCCUUAAUCAUUUUCAACAGAGUCUGAAGAAACACUCGGUUGCUUCUUCCCACUCCAGUCCUUUGAUGUGGACUUAUAAAGAGGAAUUUAGAAGCCAUGACUAUUGCUUGGGGGUAGGUGGCAGAAAAUUUAUCAGAGUUAGGGGCCGGGGAUUUAGCUCAGUAGUUUCGCUGCCUGCUGUGCAAGCGCAAGGACCCGAGUUUGAUCCUCGGAACCAAAAAUAAAAAAUUAGAGAGUAAGGUGUCGCUCAGGAAUUAGGAAGCAGAUUGAGUCAGAUGUUAAAAGGGUCAGUAUUUGCAGGAUACAUAAAAGGAUUAGGAACAGAGAAGAAACUGGUAGACAAAGUCCAGAGUUGUCUCCAGGAACUGUAAUGGGAGCAGUUUCCGUGAACUGGUGAGACACAGAAAGGUGCCUGCAGGGAGUAAGAGGGAGUUUCCCAGGUGGCCCUGAAAACAGCCCAAGUGCUGGACCUUUCUUCUCUAGGAUGUCUCAUCAUUGUCUCCCAAACUGAACAGUCUAGUACAGCCAAGCCUUGCCAUAGCGUGCCUCAAUGUAGAUUGUGCUUUGCAAAAAGCGCUUUUUUGUUCCAAAUUGAAGAUUUGUGGCAACCCCGCAGCAAGCGAGUCUAUCAAUACUGUUUUUCUAAUAGCUCAGACAAUCAUCAUUUUUAGCAAUAAAGUAUUUUUGAAAUCAAUGUGUAUAUUGUUCUAAUGAUAAUGUAUGUCAUUGCCCUCUUAAUAGACUACACAAUAGUGGAAACAUAACUGUUAUAUGCACCAGGAAACCAAAGCAUUCGUGUGAUUUGCUUUCUUGCAGUUGUCUGGAACUUAUUUGGCAACAUCACUGAGGUAUGUGGAACCCAAUAAACACCAGGUGAACAAACGGUCAGGAAAGACAUCGCUCUGAAUGCAUAAAUUCCUUUAUUGAAAAUAUUGGGUAGCACUGCAUUACAUAGUCAGUAUCCAUAAAUGAAGGGUCACACAUUUUCGAUCAGACAAUACUGCUUUAAAUAAGAGAACACAGCAGCUGGAGAUGCCCUUGGGAGUACAGUAUCAUGGACUAAACUAGCUAAGAGUGAACUGUACGCAGAAUGACCGUUUAGUAAAG